AUCUGCUCCAUUAAAUCAUCACUGCAACGGACAUAGAAGACGAUGAUGAUAAGAACAGAGAAAUGAAUUUUUCUUCCUUAUCUAUUGAAUCAAGAACUUUAACUAUCUUGAAGAUCUCUUAACUCUCCUCUAGCCAAAAGACUCUCACUUUACCAAAAUGGUCAAAGACCCUUUUAUUCUAAUCCUACCUCUCCUAUGUAUGUUAAAGACCCCAGUGGCCCGUAACAAUGUGAAGUUGCAUUUGGAAAAACAGAUUUCUUCGGUACUUGUCAUAUUAUGAAAGGUGAAACAAACCUAAAAACCGAACUAAGUAGAAAUUUCCAAAAUCUUCACAAAGCUAGAGACAAAUACUCUGAUAUCUGAAAAUUGACCUGGAGUGGUAGAGAUCCCAGUUA